rnacentral:misc_RNA from 1 species
GGAAAGUUCAACUCUCAAGAUGCAUCUGCUACAGUUGAAGUGAGUGAAAUACAUACCCCAGGCAAAUCAAGCAUAUUGGUGGGAUCCUCUAUGCCUAAUCUUGGCAACAAGCUAAACAAGGUGGAGCAUAUUGCUGGAUCUGUGAAUAUCUCUUCAUCAAAGGACUGUUAUUCUGGAGUAAAAGCCUCAACUAUAUAUGAGGAUGAUCCUUUCUCUCAAGAUUUCAAUAUGGAUGAAGUGGACUUGAGUUUUGAAAA